GACAGGAAGAAUGCAGGAUGUGACAAUGAGCUGUGUGUGGGGCUGGGCACACACACAAUGGGCAAACAUUGAGUAGAGACGGGGAGACUGAAAUGUCAGUAACAGGCGACAGCACUCUUCAGCACUCUUCGGUUUCUUCUAAACUGCACUGAGGUUCAUGGUUCUGAACACUUGGAGUCUGAGAGAUGGGCCUUGAGGAUGACGUCCCAGCCUCCUGACCCACAGGGGUGAUGCCAUACACUCCCGCCACCACCAAGAGAGCCCAGCUGCCAUGAACUGCACUGUGCUUUCCCAGCCAUGAUGGAAUAUUCCUAACUGUGUCAGUCAGCUAAGCUGGCCUUGGCGCUUUUGCAGCUAGACCACGUUGUGGCUUCUUGUCUACUCCUGAUGUCUUCUUCCUGCCGUGAUUGCUCCUGGGCUGGUUGGUCGACCACUUGACUCCUUCCACAACCCCAUUAGACUGGAGUGACUUGGGGUGUCAAACUCUACCAGGAGUGACUGGGGCACCUUCUCGGGCCCCUUGGGAGCUGGGGACCUGCCAUGUGGUCAGCUGAGAUGCAUCUGGCUGCCACGUUGCUUUCAUAGCUUGCCUGCCAGCCCCCCAGCUCUCUGGGUCACUCCUCUUCUGAUGUUGCCACCAUACUCGGCUCAGUUACCACGCUACUGGAGGUUACCAGCUCAGCCCACACUACUGGAGGAGCCUGAAGAGAAUGGUAGCAUUUCAGGCUGUCCCUGGAGCCAGCCACCCCCACUGCCGCCAGCAGACCCUCUGCAUUUGGAAGUCCUUUCCCUCAAUGUGUUCUCCCUCUGUGUAUCAGUGCGGUGCCCUUACAGAGAUCCUUGCGGCUGUGUGAAGCAUCAUCACCAUGGCUGCCUCUGCCUGCAUCUUUCCUCAUAGAAUUUAUCACCGCCCGGCAUGCAACAACAGCUAAUCUUGGUUCACCUCCUUCUCCCAGCAGACUGCAGUGUGCCCGAGGGGCCAGGCUUUGAAUGAGCAGUCCUUCAAGUGUGCCUGACCGACAGCAAGCAUCGGGAAGCUAUUGAACGGAUGAACACAGAAGGCAGGUAGGAGGGGGCAGCGUGAUGGAGGAGGAAGAUUGGAGUUCAACCAUGAGUCCCCCCAUAGUCAAGCACCAGGGCAUUCACGGAAGGGUGGCCUGUAUCUUACACAGUUGACCACAAGCUGCUCUCUGACGAACUCAGCAGCAAGCUCACUAUGUCCCUUCCAGAAUAAUCUCUGAGGUUAAGAGAAAGGUGUGUCAACAGGAAGUCAUGCUGAACUUAAAAACCAUCUGCUUUGGUCUUUUCUGCUCACAGCCCAGAUACCGGACACACAGCCAAGACUGAAACAGCAGUGACUGGCCAAAGCCAUUGGUUGUCUUAAUGACUGCUUUCGGUCAUUAAGAUGCCUGGAUUGGAUUUAUCGCCAACGAGCGGAUCGAUUACUUGGUGCUCAUCUGCAAUCUAAGCCUUUCUGUGUCUCCACUUCGGUUAUUUCAUUAAGAUGGAUGGGCUGGUGAUGCCACACCCCCUGGGAAGCUGGGCUGGAGAGCUCUGCCUGAAUGGAGCAUUAGAGAGAGAAAAAUAAACCGGGCCUAGGGAAGGAAGAAGGGCCGCGCGGUACGAGGCUCUUAGUUCACAUCCGGUGGUGCUGGGUGAGCCACUCAGCCUGCAGCUGCUGGUGAUAGCUCAUGCUGAGGGUCGCAUGGUCUUUCAGGGGGGUUGUCUACGUUUGCUGAGUGUGGAUGCAGCUUUGUGGAGGUUUUUAGGACUCUAUUUUCCAGUCUUGGAGUGUCUUCCUGUGCCAAAAUCUGUCUUUGUUCUAGCAUGGAUCUCUGUCAUGUUCUGGAAGGGUCAUCCUGCCACGACAGACUUUUCUGGGGAAACUAAACGUCCUCAUGUCCGUUGUUUGUGCUUCUUGAAGCAGCUACAAUAAAAUAAAAGCACAGAAUUAGCCUGAGCCUUGUGGUGGUCUUAUGAGAAUUGUCCCCAUAGGAUCCUAUGUUUAAAUGCUUGGUCCCUAGUUAGUGGAACAAUUUGGAAAGGAUUAGGAGGU
rnacentral:sRNA from 1 species